UCAUCUGGACCUUCUUGCACUGUCUCACAUGUGAGCUUUUGGGGGACACCUCACAGCCACACCAUAAUAGCAACUUCCCCUCCAGCUACCACAUUAAAAUUCCAGCCACCAGGACAGAAGAGAUAAAAAAGGUGGCACAAAGAAAUCAUGGCAGCAGACUGAAGAAAGCUUAAUAGAACUAACAUAUGGUAUUUCGUAUUUGUGGAUUAUUGGUCUGAACUGAGGCUGUGUAGGGCCCCAACUCUGUGACCCCAACUCUGAGAAGUGGCUUCUGUUUUCGUUGUACAGGUACUGAGCUAGUUCUUAGUUUGAGAGAAGAGGAGAAAAGUAUUAGGAAAUAAGCAGUGGUUCCCAACGCAGCAUGUCUCAGGGAGUGUGAUUUGAUAUGUAAUCUAAACAGAUAAGGGUACCUCCCCACUUUUAUCUAGACUGAAUAUUCCCCAUCAUGAUCUCAUGACUGUGUCGUAUAAUUCUUUCCACUUUUUGUUCCAAAGAAAAAGAGAUGUGUGAUUGAGCAGGAAUGCAUUCCUGCAUUCAGAGUUGAAAUAUGCAGAUGACCCUCACCCACUGGAAGCAGGAUAAAAGAGAUCCCCUGGAUAGUUCUAUUACUAUAAGCAUCAUUUCCUGAGCUGGGUCCUUGGGCAACAAAGGAAUGGAAGAGGAGCUAGGCCUCACCAGGAAGUCCUCCUUGACCCAGCAGCCAGACCCCUUCCUUGCUACCAAAGGAAUGGAAGUGGGCAGGUGCAAAGGCUGGACUUCCAGAGCGGCUUCUACCAAGGUGUUGAAUCUUAGGUCUGGAAUGGGUCUGUUUCACUCCAGUGGCUAGCAGGACCAGCUGUGGAGCCAGCUGGGCCAGAGUGGAGGAAUGGCUAUUCUACUUACAAGCUGGCUACUUCGGGGCAAAAAAUCUCUGAUCUCAGUGUGCAUGCUUGAAAAAGGAGGGAAUGAGGCUGUCAGUUGACAGCGCAUAGGCAAAUCAAUGAGACACUGCAUGAGAAGCUCUUAGCGUAGAGCUUGGGCCUAUGUUAGGACUUAAAAAAUGUUGGGUAUUAUAUUUUCAGCCUAUAUACAUAUAUACAUAUAUAUGUGAAAAAAAAUAUAAAUG
rnacentral:lncRNA from 1 species